rnacentral:lncRNA from 1 species
ACUAACUCCUGGCUGCCCUCCCUCACCCACCCUGACGACCGCUCACAAAAGUCACCAAAGGAGCAAGAGAACUUUUUUAUUGCUAAAUAUGCAGAGAAAAGCAAGGCGAGCUAAGGGAGCCCAACUUGGAGGCUUUGCUGAGGGGUGGGGUGUGGGAGCCUCCUAGGGGGGCUAUAGGGAAGGGGGGCAGCCCCUGCAGGGGGUUCUCCCUAAAGAGGAGGUCACCUGCAAGAGAGCUGAACUGCAGCCUUGGCACCCCCCUUGAACUUCUUCUGGCCCUUGCCACCCUGGUGCUGAGGCUGCUGCUGGACUGGUGGCUGAGAAAGGGGCAGCUUCUCGGACUUCUCCACCUUGCCAGGCUUCUCGCCUUUACCGGACUUCUCCAGCUUCUCCGGCUUCUCGGCUUUCUCCAGCUUCUCCUUGUUCCCCUCUGUCAGGCCGGCUGGCCUGCCUCCCGGCUCUCCCUGGGGGCCCGGCUCAGGCUGGGCCAGUUCCACUCGUCAUUGUCCACCUUGAUGUCGCCGCUGCCGCCCUCAGGGUCGCCGCUCAUGGUCUCAAUAGCGGUUAUUCGAAGUGCCUCACCCAUGGACCCGGAGUCUAGGAGUGAGACGGGCGGCUCCCUGCCUGCACUUAUGUACUAGGCAAGUGGCUACAAAAGUAGCGACUGGCUGAGCACAGGGGCCACGUCCCAUUGGCUGCUGCAAGGCUCACCUCCCAACCCCCCAGCUGCCUGCCCACUCCCCCAGCCCCCAGCAACUUGCCAUGCGGCCUUCGAGCAGGCUGCCCUCCCCCCUGAGGGCACCCCCGGGGCCCCGAGCCUCCCUUUGCGCUGCUGAGCACCCCUGCUAUCUCCAAAAAAUCUGGGGCGGCCCUGCACCCUGCCCCGGUCCUGUCGCGAGGCUCCCACCUUGGGGCUCCCCAGCAGGCUUCCUCCCCUCCACCAUCAGCGCUUGGGAAGGGGCGUCUGGGAGAGAGCAGAGAAGCAUUUGAUUCAAUGUUAAAACUUGCAGGCCAGGCCCAGCCCCCCAGCAGCAGCUACUCCCUGGGGGUGGGGGAGAGCAGGCUGCAAGGGAAGCAAAGAGCUCAGAGGACACACAGGGACCCCCGUG